rnacentral:rRNA from 1 species
GCUUAUCCCUAAACACAGAUAUUUUUUACAAUAUAUCCGCCAGAGGACUACAAGCGAAAAGCUAGAAACUCCAAGGACUUGGCGGUGCUUCAAACCAACCUAGAGGAGCCUGUCCUAUAAUCGAUACUCCCCGUUCUACCUUACCCCCCUUAGACAACCAGCCUAUAUACCGCCGUCGAAAGCCUACCCUAUGAAGGAAACAAAGUAGGCAAAAUAGUAACUAGCUAACACGUCAGGUCAAGGUGUAGCACAUGGGGGGGAAAGAGAUGGGCUACAUUUUCAAAACGAACAUACGAAUAAUAUUUUGAAAUAUAUAUUUGAAGGUGGAUUUAGUAGUAAAGUAGACAAGAGAGCCUAUCUUGAAACCUGCUCUGAAGCGCGC